rnacentral:rRNA from 1 species
AUUGAACGCUGGCGGCAUGCCUUACACAUGCAAGUCGAACGGUAACGCGGGGCAACCUGGCGACGAGUGGCGAACGGGUGAGUAAUGCAUCGGAACGUGCCCAGUAGUGGGGGAUAGCCCGGCGAAAGCCGGAUUAAUACCGCAUACGACCUACGGGUGAAAGCGGGGGACCGUAAGGCCUCGCGCUGUUGGAGCGGCCGAUGUCAGAUUAGGUAGUUGGUGGGGUAAAGGCCUACCAAGCCUUCGAUCUGUAGCUGGUCUGAGAGGACGACCAGCCACACUGGGACUGAGACACGGUCCAGACUCCUACGGGAGGCAGCAGUGGGGAAUUUUGGACAAUGGGCGCAAGCCUGAUCCAGCCAUGCCGCGUGAGUGAAGAAGGCCUUCGGGUUGUAAAGCUCUUUCGGCCGGGAAGAAAUCGCACAGGUUAAUACCCUGUGUGGAUGACGGUACCGGAAUAAGAAGCACCGGCUAACUACGUG